rnacentral:rRNA from 1 species
CCUUAGUAGCGGCGAGUGAAGCGGCAAAAGCUCAAAUUUGAAAUCUGGCACUUUCAGUGUCCGAGUUGUAAUUUGAAGAAGGUAUCUUUGGGUCUGGCUCUUGUCUAUGUUUCUUGGAACAGAACGUCACAGAGGGUGAGAAUCCCGUGCGAUGAGAUGUCCCAGACCUAUGUAAAGUUCCUUCGAAGAGUCGAGUUGUUUGGGAAUGCAGCUCUAAGUGGGUGGUAAAUUCCAUCUAAAGCUAAAUAUUGGCGAGAGACCGAUAGCGAACAAGUACAGUGAUGGAAAGAUGAAAAGAACUUUGAAAAGAGAGUGAAAAAGUACGUGAAAUUGUUGAAAGGGAAGGGCUUGAGAUCAGACUUGGUAUUUUGUAUGUUACUCUCUCGGGGGUGGCCUCUACAGUUUACCGGGCCAGCAUCAGUUUGAGCGGUAGGAUAAGUGCAAAGAAAUGUGGCACUGCUUCGGUAGUGUGUUAUAGUCUUUGUCGAUACUGCCAGCUUAGACUGAGGACUGCGGCUUCGGCCUAGGAUGUUGGCAUAAUGAUCUUAAGUCGCCCGUCUUGAAACACGGACCAAGGAGUCUAACGUCUAUGCGAGUGUUUGGGUGUAAAACCCGUACGCGUAAUGAAAGUGAACGUAGGUAGGACCUCCUUUAGGAGUGCACUAUCGACCGAUCCUGAUGUCUUCGGAUGGAUUUGAGUAAGAGCAUA